rnacentral:rRNA from 1 species
UACAGAGGGGGCAAGCGUUGUUCGGAAUUACUGGGCGUAAAGGGCGCGUAGGCGGCCUGCUAAGUCGAACGUGAAAUCCCUGGGCUCAACCCCAGGAACUGCGUCCGAUACUGGUUGGCUUGAAUCCGGGAGAGGGAUGCGGAAUUCCAGGUGUAGCGGUGAAAUGCGUAGAUAUCUGGAGGAACACCGGUGGCGAAGGCGGCAUCCUGGACCGGCAUUGACGCUGAGGCGCGAAAGCCAGGGACGAGCAAGCAGGG